rnacentral:tRNA from 1 species
GCUGAGGUGGCGGAGUGGACAAUCGCAACAGUCUGUAAAACUGUCGCCCUACCGGGCUACCCAGGUUCGAAUCCUGGCCUCAGCA